AGAGUUUGAUCCUGGCUCAGGACGAACGCUGGCGGCGUGCUUAACACAUGCAAGUCGAACGGUAAGGCCCUUCGGGGUACACGAGUGGCGAACGGGUGAGUAACACGUGGGUAAUCUGCCCUGCACAUCGGGAUAAGCCUGGGAAACUGGGUCUAAUACCGAAUAGGACCACAGGACACAUGUCCUGUGGUGGAAAGCUUUUGCGGUGUGGGAUGGGCCCGCGGCCUAUCAGCUUGUUGGUGGGGUGAUGGCCUACCAAGGCGACGACGGGUAGCCGGCCUGAGAGGGUGUCCGGCCACACUGGGACUGAGAUACGGCCCAGACUCCUACGGGAGGCAGCAGUGGGGAAUAUUGCACAAUGGGCGAAAGCCUGAUGCAGCGACGCCGCGUGGGGGAUGACGGCCUUCGGGUUGUAAACCUCUUUCACCAUCGACGAAGGUCCGGGUUUUCUCGGGCUGACGGUAGGUGGAGAAGAAGCACCGGCCAACUACGUGCCAGCAGCCGCGGUAAUACGUAGGGUGCGAGCGUUGUCCGGAAUUACUGGGCGUAAAGAGCUCGUAGGUGGUUUGUCGCGUUGUUCGUGAAAUCUCACGGCUUAACUGUGAGCGUGCGGGCGAUACGGGCAGACUUGAGUACUGCAGGGGAGACUGGAAUUCCUGGUGUAGUGGUGGAAUGCGCAGAUAUCAGGAGGAACACCGGUGGCGAAGGCGGGUCUCUGGGCAGUAACUGACGCUGAGGAGCGAAAGCGUGGGGAGCGAACAGGAUUAGAUACCCUGGUAGUCCAA
rnacentral:rRNA from 1 species